rnacentral:rRNA from 1 species
UACAGAGGUCUCAAGCGUUGUUCGGAUUCAUUGGGCGUAAAGGGUGCGUAGGUGGCGCUGUAAGUCGGGUGUGAAAUUUCGGAGCUUAACUCCGAAACUGCAUUCGAUACUGCGGUGCUUGAGGACUGGAGAGGAGACUGGAAUUCAUGGUGUAGCAGUGAAAUGCGUAGAGAUCAUGAGGAAGACCAGUGGCGAAGGCGGCUCUCUGGAACGCAACUGACGCUGAGACGCGAAAGCGUGGGGAGCAAACAGG